UACGUAGGGUGCAAGCGUUGUCCGGAAUUAUUGGGCGUAAAGAGCUCGUAGGCGGCUUGUCACGUCGGAUGUGAAAGCCCGAGGCUUAACCUCGGGUCUGCAUUCGAUACGGGCUAGCUAGAGUGUGGUAGGGGAGAUCGGAAUUCCUGGUGUAGCGGUGAAAUGCGCAGAUAUCAGGAGGAACACCGGUGGCGAAGGCGGAUCUCUGGGGCCAUUACUGACGCUGAGGAGCGAAAGCAUGGGUAGCGAACAGG
rnacentral:rRNA from 1 species